CCUACGGGAGGCAGCAGUGAGGAAUAUUGGUCAAUGGACGAGAGUCUGAACCAGCCAAGUAGCGUGAAGGAUGACUGCCCUAUGGGUUGUAAACUUCUUUUAUAAAGGAAUAAAACGAGGCACGUGUGCCCUUUUGCAUGUACUUUAUGAAUAAGGAUCGGCUAACUCCGUGCCAGCAGCCGCGGUAAUACGGAGGAUCCGAGCGUUAUCCGGAUUUAUUGGGUUUAAAGGGAGCGUAGAUGGGUUGUUAAGUCAGUUGUGAAAGUUUGCGGCUCAACCGUAAAAUUGCAAUUGAUACUGGCAGUCUUGAGUACAGGUGAGGUAGGCGGAAUUCGUGGUGUAGCGGUGAAAUGCUUAGAUAUCACGAAGAACCCCGAUUGCGAAGGCAGCUUACUAAACUGUGACUGACAUUGAUGCUCGAAAGUGUGGGUAUCAAACAGGAUUAGAUACCCUAGUAGUC
rnacentral:rRNA from 1 species